GGUGGCUCAGUGGUAAAGUACUUGCAUUGCAUGCAUGAGGCCCUGAGUUCGAUUCCUCAGCACCA
rnacentral:tRNA from 1 species